rnacentral:pre_miRNA from 2 species
UUGUUUCUUGGAGUUCCUCUGAACGCUUCAUAUAAGAGGUUAUCCAUCUUCAUUGAAGUGUUUGGGGGAACUCUUGGAAUUAA